GCGUGGAGGGCUCUGUUGUGAUGAACCAGAAGCAGAAAAAAUGAGAAAAAAAGAGAGUUGGUGAAUGAUUGAUAUAAUCUUGAAUACUAAGGGAAAUAGUGAUAGGGCUACUCUCUAUUGGCAUGCAGUUAUAUAUGUAUAGUGAGUACUCCACUUCACUUUGUCACAGAUUUUAACUGACAUGCCAAAGGAGAGCUGCCCUAUUACUGUUUUUGCUUAAUCCUACACGCUUUUUGGCUCUCAAUACUGCGUGAUGUCUAGAAGGAGCAUGGAGCACAGGAUUCACUGCAAGAUGAAGGUCAGAGACAUUGUCUGUGAACAAAACUAGAGGAGUAUGCAGAGAAACACCAAUAUCCCGAAGAAUGUCGAGUAUUCAUGUUAACUCUGCACUGAGGACGCCAAACACCGGUACUCGGCUUUGGCGCUUGAUCUCACCACCGUAUUCUGCUUCUUGGAUGACCAUGAAAGACAGUUCGAACCAAGGAAUAUGUACAAUCCAAACCUGGAAGGAUGAGUAAUUAAGGGGGAAGCCACCCCAAUCGGCAGCGGAAAAGCCUACCAGAUUGAAAGAGGAUAGUGCAGUGAUUUGAAGUCCGUAAUGGGAGGUACCUGCCAAAUAACGGAGCAUUCUUUUGACACCAAUCCAAUGGCUUGCUACUGGAUUUUUCAUAAAUUGACAGAGAAGAUUGACGGCACGAGCAAUGUAUAAGAGUUAAGUAUUGAAGAACUCCGACGAUGCUACGAUAUUCUGAAGGAUCGACAGCAGGACCUGUGGAAGCAUGCAAAUCAUGUUUCUGAGCAAGUGAAGUCUGAAUGGCUUGAGCACAUGAUAUCAUGGUUCGUUCCAGGAUUAGUGCAUAUUUUUUUUUGGCUUAGGAAGAGACCAUAUUCGCUGAGCGCAAAUGACUUCGACGCCCAAGAAGUAAUGGAGAGCUCCCAUGUCUUUCAUUUCAAACAUGGAAUUCAAGUUGCUGAUAAAUUCAUUAAGGAGUGUAGAACUACUAACUGUAAGGAUUAUAUCAUCUACAUAGAGUUGAAGUAAGAGAGGAACAUAUUUAAGCACAAGAAAAAUAGAAGUAAUUUUACAUACCUUAUGUAAAGCCUUAUCUGUAAACUUUCUCUUUUGCAUUGCAUUUACAUUUUCCCAAAACCAGUUUUUAUGUAGAAG